CCUACGGGUGGCUGCAGUGAGGAAUAUUGGUCAAUGGACGAGAGUCUGAACCAGCCAAGUAGCGUGAAGGAUGACUGCCCUAUGGGUUGUAAACUUCUUUUAUAUGGGAAUAAAACGUUCCACGUGUGGGAUUUUGUAUGUACCAUAUGAAUAAGGAUCGGCUAACUCCGUGCCAGCAGCCGCGGUAAUACGGAGGAUCCGAGCGUUAUCCGGAUUUAUUGGGUUUCAAGGGAGCGUAGGUGGAUUGUUAAGUCAGUUGUGAAAGUUUGCGGCUCAACCGUAAAAUUGCAGUUGAAACUGGCAGUCUUGAGUACAGUAGAGGUGGACGGAAUUCGUGGUGUAGCGGUGAAAUGCUUAGAUAUCACGAAGAACUCCGAUUGCGAAGGCAGUUCACUGGACUGCAACUGACACUGAGGCUCGAAAGUGUGGGUAUCAAACAGGAUUAGAUACCCCAGUAGUC
rnacentral:rRNA from 1 species